rnacentral:rRNA from 1 species
GAUGAACGCUGGCGGCGUGCCUAAUACAUGCAAGUCGAGCGAACAGACGAGGAGCUUGCUCCUUUGACGUUAGCGGCGGACGGGUGAGUAACACGUGGGUAACCUACCUAUAAGACUGGGAUAACUUCGGGAAACCGGAGCUAAUACCGGAUAAUAUUUCGAACCGCAUGGUUCGAUAGUGAAAGAUAGCUUUGCUAUCACUUAUAGAUGGACCUGCGCCGUAUUAGCUAGUUGGUAAGGUAACGGCUUACCAAGGCAACGAUACGUAGCCGACCUGAGAGGGUGAUCGGCCACACUGGAACUGAGACACGGUCCAGACUCCUACGGGAGGCAGCAGUAGGGAAUCUUCCGCAAUGGGCGAAAGCCUGACGGAGCAACGCCGCGUGAGUGAUGAAGGUCUUCGGAUCGUAAAACUCUGUUAUUAGGGAAGAACAAACGUGUAAGUAACUGUGCACGUCUUGACGGUACCUAAUCAGAAAGCCACGGCUAACUACGUG